rnacentral:rRNA from 1 species
UAACCCUGAGGCGUGAUGACGAUGCACUACGGUGCAGAAGUAGUUGAUGCCCUGCUUCCAGGAAAAUCCUCUAAGCUCCAGGUAACAUUAAAUCGUACCCCAAACCGACACAGGUGGUCAGGUAGAGAAUACCAAGGCGCUUGAGAGAACUCGGGUGAAGGAACUAGGCAAAAUGGUGCCGUAACUUCGGGAGAAGGCACGCUGGCAUGUAGGUGAAGUCCCUCGCGGAUGGAGCUGAAGCCAGUCGAAGAUACCAGCUGGCUGCAACUGUUUAAUAAAAACACAGCACUGUGCAAACACGAAAGUGGACGUAUACGGUGUGACGCCUGCCCGGUGCUGGAAGGUUAAUUGAUGGGGUCAGCCGCAAGGCGAAGCUCUUGAUCGAAGCCCCAGUAAACGGCGGCCGUAACUAUAACGGUCCUAAGGUAGCGAAAUUCCUUGUCGGGUAAGUUCCGACCUGCACGAAUGGCGUAAUGAUGGCCAGGCUGUCUCCACCCGAGACUCAGUGAAAUUGAACUCGCUGUGAAGAUGCAGUGUACCCGCGGCAAGACGGAAAGACCCCGUGAACCUUUACUAUAGCUUGACACUGAACAUUGAGCCUUGAUGUGUAGGAUAGGUGGGAGGCUUUGAAGCGUGGACGCCAGUCUGCGUGGAGCCAUCCUUGAAAUACCACCCUUUAAUGUUUGAUGUUCUAACUCGGCCCC